rnacentral:rRNA from 1 species
UAGGGAAUAUUAGAAAUGGACGAAAGUCUGAUCUAGCAACACCGCGUGUGCGAAGAAGGCCUUCGGGUCGUAAAGCACUUUUUGGAAGGAUUAGGAAGGAAUGUACUUCCAGAAUAAGUCUCGGCUAACUACGUGCCAGCAGCCGCGGUAACACGUAGGAGGCAAACGUUAUCCGGAUUUACUGGGCGUAAAGCGCGUGUAGGUGGUUCUGUAAGUAGGGCGUGAAAGCUCCUGGCUCAACUGGGAGAGGCCGUUCUAAACUGCAGAGCUAGAGGAUGGUAGAGGGAGGUGGAAUUCCGGGUGUAGCGGUGGAAUGCGCAGAUGUCCGGAGGAACACCAGUGGCGAAAGCGGCCUCCUGGACCAUUCCUGACACUCAGACGCGAAAGCUAGGGUAGCAAACG